rnacentral:rRNA from 1 species
GUACCCGCUGAACUUAAGCAGAUCAAUAAGCGGAGGAAAAGAAACCCACAGGGAUUGCCCUAGUAACGGCGAGUGAAGCGGCAGCAGCUCAAAUUUGAAAUCUGGCUUCGGCCCGAGUUGUAAUUUGUAGAGGGAGCUUUCGGCGAGGCACCUACUGAGUCCCCUGGAACGGGGCGCCAUAGAGGGUGAGAGCCCCGUAUAGUAGGACGCCGAGCCUUUGUAAAGCCCCUUCGACGAGUCGAGUAGUUUGGGAAUGCUGCUCAAAAUGGGAGGUAAAUUUCUUCUAAAGCUAAAUAUUGGCCAGAGACCGAUAGCGCACAAGUAGAGUGAUCGAAAGAUGAAAAGCACUUUGAAAAGAGGGUUAAACAGCACGUGAAAUUGUUGAAAGGGAAGCGCUUGUGACCAGACUUGCGCCCGGCCGAUCAUCCGGUGUUCUCACCGGUGCACUCGGCCGGGCUCAGGCCAGCAUCGGUUCUGGCGGGGGGAUAAAGACCUGGGGAACGUAGCUCCUCCGGGAGUGUUACAGCCCUGAGUGCAACGCCCUCGCGGGGACCGAGGUUCGCGCAUCUGCAAGGAUGCUGGCGUAAUGGUCAUCAGCGACCCGUCUUGAAACACGGACCAAGGAGUCAAGGUUUUGCGCGAGUGUUUGGGUGUUAAACCCGCACGCGUAAUGAAAGUGAACGUAGGUGAGAGCUUCGGCGCAUCAUCGACCGAUCCUGAUGUUUUCGGAUGGAUUUGAGUAGGAGCGUUAAGCCUUGGACCCGAAAGAUGGUGAACUAUGCUUGGAUAGGGUGAAGCCAGAGGAAACUCUGGUGGAGGCUCGCAGCGGUUCUGACGUGCAAAUCGAUCGUCAAAUCUGAGCAUGGGGGCGAAAGACUAAUCGAACCAUCUAGUAGCUGGUUACCGCCGAAGUUUCCCUCAGGAUAGCAGUGUUGUUCUUCAGUUUUAUGAGGUAAAGCGAAUGAUUAGGGACUCGGGGGCGCUUUUUAGCCUUCAUCCAUUCUCAAACUUUAAAUAUGUAAGAAGCCCUUGUUACUUAAUUGAACGUGGGCAUUCGAAUGUACCAACACUAGUGGGCCAUUUUUGGUAAGCAGAACUGGCG